UAACCGUAGUAAUUCUAGAGCUAAU
rnacentral:ncRNA from 2 species